AGGAUGAACGCUGGCGGCGUGCUUAACACAUGCAAGUCGAACGAUGAAGGCUGGAGCUUGCUCUGGCUGGAUUAGUGGCGAACGGGUGAGUAACACGUGAGUAACCUGCCCCAGACUCUGGGAUAAGCGCUGGAAACGGCGUCUAAUACCGGAUACGAGCUUCCACCGCAUGGUGAGGAGCUGAAAAGAAUUUCGGUCUGGGAUGGACUCGCGGCCUAUCAGCUUGUGGUGAGGUAAUGGCUCACCAAGGCGACGACGGGUA
rnacentral:rRNA from 1 species